rnacentral:misc_RNA from 1 species
AAAGACCUCCUUUUGCCAUUUUACAUUCACUUUUAGCAUGAUUGAUAGGUGUUUGGAGAGAUCGACAGAGAGAAAGAGAGGUGUGGAUUUUGAGAUUGUGUUUGUGCUUUUGCCUUGCUUGAGGUUGAGGAAAAGAAACACAGAGCUUUGAGAGUUCUUGCAGUCGUACGAAUUCGAUUUUAAGCUUUGUAUGCAGCAGAGCUGGUUGUGUAUAAACCCGAGUCCGGGGUU